AGACAAACUCCGAAUGCCAAUUAAUUUAACUUGGGAGUCAGAACAUGGGUGAUAAGGUCCGUGUUCGAAAGGGAAACAGCCCAGACCACCAGCUAAGGUCCCAAAAUAUAUGUUAAGUGGAAAAGGAUGUGGCGUUGCCCAGACAACUAGGAUGUUGGCUUAGAAGCAGCCAUCAUUUAAAGAGUGCGUAAUAGCUCACUAGUCGAGUGACACUGCGCCGAAAAUGUACCGGGGCUAAACAUAUUACCGAAGCUGUGGAUUGUCCUUUGGACAAUGGUAGGAGAGCGUUCUAAGGGCGUUGAAGCAUGAUCGUAAGGACAUGUGGAGCGCUUAGAAGUGAGAAUGCCGGUGUGAGUAGCGAAAGACGGGUGAGAAUCCCGUCCACCGAUUGACUAAGGUUUCCAGAGGAAGGCUCGUCCGCUCUGGGUUAGUCGGGUCCUAAGCUGAGGCCGACAGGCGUAGGCGAUGGAUAACAGGUUGAUAUUCCUGUACCACCUAUAAUCGUUUUAAUCGAUGGGGGGACGCAGUAGGAUAGGCGAAGCGUGCGAUUGGAUUGCACGUCUAAGCAGUAAGGCUGAGUAUUAGGCAAAUCCGGUACUCGUUAAGGCUGAGCUGUGAUGGGGAGAAGACAUUGUGUCUUCGAGUCGUUGAUUUCACACUGCCGAGAAAAGCCUCUAGAUAGAAAAUAGGUGCCCGUACCGCAAACCGACACAGGUAGUCAAGAUGAGAAUUCUAAGGUGAGCGAGCGAACUCUCGUUAAGGAACUCGGCAAAAUGACCCCGUAACUUCGGGAGAAGGGGUGCUCUUUAGGGUUAACGCCCAGAAGAGCCGCAGUGAAUAGGCCCAAGCGACUGUUUAUCAAAAACACAGGUCUCUGCUAAACCGUAAGGUGAUGUAUAGGGGCUGACGCCUGCCCGGUGCUGGAAGGUUAAGAGGAGUGGUUAGCUUCUGCGAAGCUACGAAUCGAAGCCCCAGUAAACGGCGGCCGUAACUAUAACGGUCCUAAGGUAGCGAAAUUCCUUGUCGGGUAAGUUCCGACCCGCACGAAAGGCGUAACGAUUUGGGCACUGUCUCAACGAGAGACUCGGUGAAAUCAUAGUACCUGUGAAGAUGCAGGUUACCCGCGACAGGACGGAAAGACCCCGUGGAGCUUUACUGUAGCCUGAUAUUGAAAUUCGGCACAGCUUGUACAGGAUAGGUAGGAGCCUUUGAAACGUGAGCGCUAGCUUACGUGGAGGCGCUGGUGGGAUACUACCCUAGCUGUGUUGGCUUUCUAACCCGCACCACUUAUCGUGGUGGGAGACAGUGUCAGGCGGGCAGUUUGACUGGGGCGGUCGCCUCCUAAAAGGUAACGGAGGCGCUCAAAGGUUCCCUCAGAAUGGUUGGAAAUCAUUCAUAGAGUGUAAAGGCAUAAGGGAGCUUGACUGCGAGACCUACAAGUCGAG
rnacentral:rRNA from 1 species